GAUGUACGCUGGCGGCGUGCUUAACACAUGCAAGUCGAACGAAGCAUUUGCGACAGAUUUUUUCGGAAUGAAGUUGCUUAUGACUGAGUGGCGGACGGGUGAGUAACGCGUGGGUAACCUGCCUUGUACUGGGGGAUAGCAGCUGGAAACGGCUGGUAAUACCGCAUAAGCGCACAAUGUUGCAUGACAUGGUGUGAAAAACUCCGGUGGUAUAAGAUGGACCCGCGUCUGAUUAGCUAGUUGGUGAGAUAACAGCCCACCAAGGCGACGAUCAGUAGCCGACCUGAGAGGGUGACCGGCCACAUUGGGACUGAGACACGACCCAGACUCCUACGGGAGGCAGCAGUGGGGAAUAUUGCACAAUGGAGGAAACUCUGAUGCAGCGACGCCGCGUGAGUGAAGAAGUAAUUCGUUAUGUAAAGCUCUAUCAGCAGGGAAGAUAGUGACGGUACCUGACUAAGAAGCUCCGGCUAAAUACGUG
rnacentral:rRNA from 1 species